rnacentral:ncRNA from 1 species
GACGAAAAUAUUAGGUAAUUUAAUUUUAUUAAUUGAAAAUAAAGGAAAUUUAAUUUUGAUUGACAGUCUCAGGUAGACAGUUUCUAUAGAGCGUAGGCCUCCCAAAAGGUAACGGAGGCAUGCAAAGAUUUCUUCGGACCGGAUGGAGAUUGACCCUUGAGCACAAAGGCAAAAGGGAACUUGAUUGCAAGACCCACCCGUCGAGCAGGGACGAAAGUUGGUCGUAGUGAUCCAACGGUGCCAAGUGGAAAGGCCGUCGCUCAAUGGAUAAAAGUUACUUUAGGGAUAAUAGGCUGAUCUUCUCCAAGAGCUCACUUCGACGGGAAGAUUUGGCACCUUGAUGUAAUUUUUCUUUUUAAAUCUAAAUUCUAUUUAGAAGUUUAAUCUAAUUC